AUUGAACGCUGGCGGCAGGCCUAACACAUGCAAGUCGAACGGCAGCACGGUUGAUGCCAGCUGGUGCCGAUGGCGAAACGGGUACGGGUUAGAACGGCACCUGUACUUUGGUUGUGGAUGGGGGUGACGAAGCCGAAUUAAUACCGCAUACGCUCUACACAUGAGAGUGGGGGACCUGCGUGCCUCGCGCUUUCGGGGUGGCGGGUGGCGGAUUAGCUAGAUGGUGGGGUAAAGGCCCACCAAGGCGACGAUCAGUAGCUGGUCUGAGAGGAUGACCAGCCACACUGGGACUGAGACACGGCCCAGACUCCUACGGGAGGCAGCAGUGGGGAAUUUUGGACAAUGGGCGAAAGCCUGAUCCAGCAAUGCCGCGUGGGUGAAGAAGGCCUUCGGGUUGUAAAGCACUUUUGUUCGGAAAGAAAAACAUGGCGCUAAUACGGUGGGGUGAUGACGGUACCGGAAGAAUAAGCACCGGCUAACUACGUG
rnacentral:rRNA from 1 species